rnacentral:tRNA from 1 species
GGAGAGAUGCCCGAGAGGCUGAAGGGGGCUGAUUCGAAAUCAGUUGUACCGUUUCGCGGUACCGGGGGUUCGAAUCCCUCUCUCUCCGCCA